rnacentral:rRNA from 1 species
GACGAACGCUGGCGGCGUGCUUAACACAUGCAAGUCGAACGGAAAGGCUCCAGCUUGCUGGAGUACUCGAGUGGCGAACGGGUGAGUAACACGUGGGUAAUCUGCCCUGCACUCUGGGAUAAGCCUGGGAAACUGGGUCUAAUACUGGAUAUGACCCUUCUCCUUAUGGGGUUUGGUGGAAAGUUUUUCGGUGUAGGAUGAGCCCGCGGCCUAUCAGCUUGUUGGUGGGGUGAUGGCCUACCAAGGCGACGACGGGUAGCCGGCCUGAGAGGGUGAUCGGCCACAUUGGGACUGAGAUACGGCCCAGACUCCUACGGGAGGCAGCAGUGGGGAAUAUUGCACAAUGGGCGGAAGCCUGAUGCAGCGACGCCGCGUGAGGGAUGACGGCCUUCGGGUUGUAAACCUCUUUCAGCAGGGACGAAGCGUAAGUGACGGUACCUGCAGAAGAAGCACCGGCUAACUAUGUG